CGUAGCUCAGCUGGAUAGAGCGCUGCCCUCCGAAGGCAGAGGCCAGAGGUUCGAAUCCUCUCAGGUG
rnacentral:ncRNA from 14 species